AGCGUGGGGAACGAACGGGAAUAGAUACCCCGGUAGUCCACGCCGUAAACGAUGUCUACUAGGUUGUGGCGGUUCUGACGCCGGCACAGCCGAAGCAAAAGUGUUAAGUAGACCGCCUGGGGAGUACGGUCGCAAGGCUAAAACUCAAAGGAAUUGACGGGGGCUCACACAAGCGGUGGAGCAUGUGGAUUAAUUCGAAGCAACGCGCAGAACCUUACCUGGGUUUGACAUGCUUGGAUCCCGCCCUGGAAACAGGGUUGGCUGCCUUCGGGUGAAACUUGCACAGGUGCUGCAUGGCUGUCGUCAGCUCGUGUCGUGAGAUGUCGGGUUAAGUCCUUUAACGAGCGAAACCCUUACCGUUAGUUGCCAGCGGGUCAGGCCGGGGACUCUAACGGGACUGCCGGUGUUAAACCGGAGGAAGGUGGGGAUGACGUCAAGUCAUCAUGGCCUUUAUGCCCAGGGCCUCACACGUGCUACAAUGGUCGGGACAGAGCGACGCGAGACCGUGAGGUGGAGCCAAUCGCAAAAACCCGGCCCCAGUUCGGAUUGCAGGCUGGAACUCGCCUGCAUGAAGGUGGAAUCGCUAGUAAUCGCGUAUCAGCUAUGACGCGGUGAAUGUGUUCCUGAGCCUUGUACA
rnacentral:rRNA from 1 species